rnacentral:rRNA from 1 species
UGGGGAAUAUUGGACAAUGGGCGCAAGCCUGAUCCAGCCAUGCCGCGUGAGUGAUGAAGGCCCUAGGGUUGUAAAGCUCUUUCACCGGUGAAGAUAAUGACGGUAACCGGAGAAGAAGCCCCGGCUAACUUCGUGCCAGCAGCCGCGGUAAUACGAAGGGGGCUAGCGUUGUUCGGAUUUACUUGGCGUAAAGCGCACGUAGGCGGACUAUUAAGUCAGGGGUGAAAUCCCGGGGCUCAACCCCGGAACUGCCUUUGAUACUGGUAGUCUUGAGUACGAGAGAGGUGAGUGGAAUUCCGGGUGUAGAGGUGAAAUUCGUAGAUAUUCGGAGGAACACCAGUGGCGAAGGCGGCAAACAGGCUCGUUACUGACGCUGAGGUGCGAAAGCGUGGGGAGCAAACAGG